GAUGAAGAACGCAGCGAAAUGCGAUAAGUAAUGUGAAUUGCAGAAUUCAGUGAAUCAUCGAAUCUUUGAACGCACAUUGCGCCCGCCAGUAUUCUGGCGGGCAUGCCUGUUCGAGCGUCAUUUCAACCAUCAAGCCCCCGGCUUGUGUUGGGGACCUGCGGCUGCCGCAGGCCCUGAAAAGCAGUGGCGGGCUCGCUGUCACACCGAGCGUAGUAGAUUUUAUCUCGCUCAGGGCGUGCUGCGGGUUCCGGCCGUUAAAAAGCCUUUUUUACCCAAGGUUGACCUCGGAUCAGGUAGGAAGACCCGCUGAACUUAAGCAUAUCAAUAAGCGGAGGA
rnacentral:misc_RNA from 1 species